rnacentral:misc_RNA from 1 species
UUGGGAUCCGUGCCGUAGCUAACGCAUUAAGUACCCCGCCUGGGGAGUACGGCCGCAAGGCUAAAACUCAAAGAAAUUGACGGGGGCCCGCACAAGCGGCGGAGCAUGUGGAUUAAUUCGAUGCAACGCGAAGAACCUUACCUGGGUUUGACAUGCACAGGACGUGCCUAGAGAUAGGUAUUCCCUUGUGGCCUGUGUGCAGGUGGUGCAUGGCUGUCGUCAGCUCGUGUCGUGAGAUGUUGGGUUAAGUCCCGCAACGAGCGCAACCCUUGUCUCAUGUUGCCAGCACGUAAUGGUGGGGACUCGUGAGAGACUGCCGGGGUCAACUCGGAGGAAGGUGGGGAUGACGUCGAGGAACACCAAC